rnacentral:misc_RNA from 1 species
GAUGAAGAACGUAGCGAAACGCGAUAGUUAAUGUGAAUUGCAGAAUUCAGUGAAUCAUCGAGUCUUUGAACGCACAUUGCGCCCAUUGGUAUUCCGUUGGGCAUGUCUGUUUGAGCGUCAUUACAACAGUUCAGCGUAAGCUGGUUAUGAGUUCUGUUUUUUUAAACAAAAAACAGGCUUUAAAAUGUAUGUUCUGCAGGUCGCUUUGCUAAACCCUAAACAUUAAAUACUGUUCUAGUGAAGCAUUUGCGACUCUGCCUGAAAAAAAACUUUUGUUAAAGUUUGACCUCAGAUCAGACAAGGAUACCCGCUGAACUUAAGCAUAUCAAUAAGCGGAGG